UACGUAGGGGGCGAGCGUUGUCCGGAAUCAUUGGGCGUAAAGAGCUCGUAGGCGGCUCGGUAAGUCGGGUGUGAAACCCCCAGGCUCAACCUGGGGACGCCACCCGAUACUGCUGUGGCUAGAGUCCAGUAGGGGAGUGUGGAAUUCCCGGUGUAGCGGUGAAAUGCGCAGAUAUCGGGAGGAACACCAGCGGCGAAGGCGGCACUCUGGGCUGGAACUGACGCUGAGGCGCGAAAGCGUGGGGAGCAAACAGG
rnacentral:rRNA from 1 species